rnacentral:tRNA from 1 species
GCCGAGGUGGCUUAGCCUGGUUAUAGCGCUCGGCUCAUAACCGAGAGGUCGGGGGUUCAAAUCCCCCCCUCGGCACCA